rnacentral:rRNA from 1 species
UUACCUGGCCUUGACAUACUAAGAACUUCCAGAGAUGGAUUGGUGCCUUCGGGAACUUAGAUACAGGUGCUGCAUGGCUGUCGUCAGCUCGUGUCGUGAGAUGUUGGGUUAAGUCCCGCAACGAGCGCAACCCUUUUCCUUAUUUGCCAGCGGGUUAAGCCGGGAACUUUAAGGAUACUGCCAGUGACAAACUGGAGGAAGGCGGGGACGACGUCAAGUCAUCAUGGCCCUUACGGCCAGGGCUACACACGUGCUACAAUGGUCGGUACAAAGGGUUGCUACCUCGCGAGAGGAUGCUAAUCUCAAAAAGCCGAUCGUAGUCCGGAUCGCAGUCUGCAACUCGACUGCGUGAAGUCGGAAUCGCUAGUAAUCGCGGAUCAGAAUGCCGCGGUGAAUACGUUCCCGGGCCUUGUACACACCGCCCGUCACACCAUGGGAGUUUGUUGCACCAGAAGUAGGUAGUCUAACCGCAAGGAGGACGCUUACCACGGUGUGGCCGAUGACUGGGGUGAAGUCGUAACAAGGUAAGCGUAGAUGA